AGGACUAACGCUGGCGGCGUGCCUAACACAUGCAAGUCGAACGAGGGGUAGCAAUACCCCUAGUGGCAGACGGGUGAGUAACACGUAGUCAACCUACCUCUUAAUGGGGGAUAACUAGCCGAAAGGUUAGCUAAUACCGCAUACGAUCGUCGAGUGGCAUCACACGACGAUGAAAGGAGCAAUCCGUUGAGAGAGGGGACUGCGUCCCAUUAGUUAGUUGGUGGGGUAAUGGCCUACCAAGACUCCGAUGGGUAGCUGGCUUGAGAGAGCGACCAGCCACACUGGAACUGAGACACGGUCCAGACUCCUACGGGAGGCAGCAGUGAGGAAUUUUCCGCAAUGGGGGAAACCCUGACGGAGCGACGCCGCGUGUGGGAAGAAGGCCUUCGGGUCGUAAACCACUGUCGAGGGGGACGAUAUUGACGGUACCCUGGACGGAAGCCCGGCUAACUACGCGCCAGCAGCCGC
rnacentral:rRNA from 1 species